UACGUAGGAAGCGAGCGUUGUUCGGAAUUACUGGGCGUAAAGAGUGUGUAGGCGGUGCUCUAAGUUCGGUGUGAAAUCUCCUGGCUCAACUGGGAGGGUGCGCCGGAAACUGGAGUGCUUGAGCGUGGGAGAGGAAAGCGGAAUUCCUGGUGUAGCGGUGAAAUGCGUAGAUAUCAGGAGGAACACCUGUGGUGUAGACGGCUUUCUGGACCAUAGCUGACGCUGAGACACGAAAGCGUGGGUAGCAAACAGG
rnacentral:rRNA from 1 species